CAAAAGCGUAUAUUAAAGUUGUUGCAGUUAAAAAGCUCGUAGUUGAACCUUGGGCUUGGCUGGCCGGUCCAUCUUUUUUGAUGCGUACUGGACCCAGCCGAGCCUUUCCUUCUGGCUAGCCUUUUGGCGAACCAGGACUUUUACUUUGAAAAAAUUAGAGUGUUCAAAGCAGGCCUUUGCUCGAAUAUAUUAGCAUAGAAUAAUAGAAUAGGACGUUAUGGUUCUAUUUUGUUGGUUUCUAGGACCAUCGUAAUGAUUAAUAGGGACGGUCGGGGGUAUCAGUAUUCAGUUGUCAGAGGUGAAAUUCUUGGAUUUACUGAAGACUAACUACUGCGAAAGCAUUUACCAAGGACGUUUUCAUUAA
rnacentral:rRNA from 1 species